CGCCUGGAGAUGGAGCCCAGGUGCUAGGAAAAGGCUGUCGCGCACGCAAGGUGAUGCUCAGACUCCGGUGGCGAGGGACGCAGAUCAGAGCUCCUCGCCUGGAGACCUCCUCCAAGCAGGACACACUCACCCCUCCGGCUCCCUCUCCCGGAAGCGCUUCUCUGUGCUGUCUGCGGGCCUCGGGACGCCCUUCCUUCAUGCAGCGGUAAAACCGAGCGCAGUAGACUUCACUUCCACCUGUAACUCUGCUCUUACCAAGUCGGUCGCGUGAAAGCACAGAGAGAAGGAGGCCGUCUGCACUCCACAAGAAGGACCCCCACUGGGCACCGACCCUGCGGGCACCUGGACCUUGGACUUCCAGUCUCCACAACUGGGAGAAAAUAAAUUUCU